rnacentral:rRNA from 1 species
UACGUAGGGUGCGAGCGUUAAUCGGAAUACUGGGCGUAAAGUGUGCGCAGGCGGCACCGCAAGUCGAGUGUGAAAGCCCCGGGCUUAACUUGGGAAUUGCGCUCGAAACUAUGGUGCUGGAGUGUGGCAGAGGAAGGUGGAAUCCAGGUGUAGCAGUGAAAUGCGUAGAGAUCUGGAGGAACACCGAUGGCGAAGGCAGCCCCCCUGGGCUAACACUGACGCUCAUGCACGAAAAGCGUGGGGGAGCAAACAGG